rnacentral:misc_RNA from 1 species
UUUCCGUAGGUGAACCUGCGGAAGGAUCAUUAUUGAAUAUUCUUGAUGGGUUGUAGCUGGCUCUUCGGGGCAUGUGCACGCUUGUCUUGACUCUAUUCAUCCACCUGUGCACCUUUUGUAGUCUUGGGGGUUGAGAUCAGUCGACUAUCGGAUGGCGAUAGCCUUUCCGGACGUGGGGAUUGCUGAGUGCGAAAGCAUAAGCUCUUCUCAAAUGACUUGCAAAACCUCUCCCUCGAGUACUAUGUAUUCAUAUACCACAUAGUAUGUCGUAGAAUGUGAUCAAUGGGCCUACGUGCCUAUAAUAAUCAUAUACAACUUUCAGCAACGGAUCUCUUGGCUCUC